ACUAACCGGAGCAAUGUGGCAGCUGCUGUGCAUAAAAGUGAUGGGGCUGAGGGGCUGCAGGGCUCACCAUGAAGUCCAGCGGGGGUGCUGCAUCCGACCCGGAGGAGCUGGAGAGUGGCAGCAGCGAGAGCAGCUCUGGGAAGUACGUGCCUUCCGCCGGGGCCCAAGGCAAGCGCAAGCGGAAGAGCCCUCGCCUGAGUGGCUUGAGCAAGCAGAGGCAAGCUGCCAAUGCCCGGGAGAGGGACCGGACCCACAGUGUCAAUACAGCCUUCACUGCUCUCCGCACACUCAUCCCCACUGAGCCUGCCGACCGCAAGCUGUCCAAAAUAGAGACCUUGCGCCUGGCUUCAAGCUACAUCUCCCACCUAGCCAACAUGCUGCUCUUACAGCAGCAGCAGCAAAGCGAGGGCUUGGGAGCUGAACCAGGGCCAAUGAGGCAGCCCUGCUUGCAAUACCAGCCCCUCCUGCAGGGCGGCGGCAAUGCAACAGCACCAAGACCAAUCUGCACCUUCUGCCUGAGCAACCAGAGGAAACUGCACAGAGAAAGGGAGAAACACUUGUCUCUUUAGAAGUUUUAUGGACAUUGAUUCCGAUGAGAAGCCUGCACAAGUGCUGGUCUGGUUAUAGAACACUUGUAGAAGUGUGGUCUUCUGGCACUCGGCACUUUUUGGCUCAUUGAAAGACAUUGGACUCGCAUCAGUGGAAGUACUUAGCCAUGGAGGAACAUGCUCUGCAGCGGAGGACUGCCUCUGCAAUGGAAAAGGGCACCACAGGAUCCAAGUCUCAGUUUUUAACAGCAAAUAUACAAUAUCCAGUUUCUACCUGAAAAUAUUCACCAUCCUUUUAAAAACAGGUUGAUGAAAUCCUACCACUUAAACCAUCCUUUCAGACCGUAGCUUACAAUCAUCCACAAUGGGAUUCCAUAGGCAUGCGUCUUCUCUGUUGACUGAAGUGUUUAACUUCCAAUGUCAUUGAAGUCAAUGACAACAUCAGAGUUGUGCUGAGCCCUUUUCGGUUACCGGUGUUAAUCAAAACAGCUGAGUGCACAUCACUGAAUAAGAACCAUUGUAUUCUCAGUAUAAUUUAAAAAGCAGUUGAGCUGAUGCAUCCACACAGCAGUGCAAGCUCAGGCUGUCAAGUCCCAUGCGUACCUAGACUCGAAAACCCUUUUCAUAGAACGUGUACAGGGAAAACAAUGCACCCAGUGGACCCAGGAGUUCCACCCACCUCCUUUUACUGAACAAUGUGUAUAUAAAUGGUAUGCAUGUGGGUGCAAUUCAAAAUUUAUACUGAAUGCACAUAUUGAAUAAAUCCUGUAAGCAAUCUAUGUAAUAGGCUGUAUGAAAGGGGCUCAAGUUUCUACAUCCUCCAAACGGCCAUGCGUCUUCUGCUGUGGCUCUUGCAACUUUGUGCUGGCAACACACAUGCAAGACUCUUACAGUGCAACCCUAAGCAGAGUUACACAAGGCUAAGCCAAUUGACUUCAGUGGGCUUAGACAGGAGUAACUCUGUUUAGGAUUGCCCUGUUAGUCUUUUUGAUCUUUUUGGAAGUGUUUAAAAAGUUGUUUUGGAAAUAGCUGAUAACAUGCACUAACAGUUAUUUAUAGCAGAGUUUCCUUGUAAUCUCUGCGUCUGUAUUCUGUAGCUACCUUCGAAUUUCUGCAUUUAGGUAUGUCACAUACCAGUCUCUACAAUGGCUGUUUUCCAACUGGUGUGUAAGCAUCCUGUAAAUAUCAAGCAAUGGAUACGUGUGUAGAAAAUAGAGGUCCAUGGCAUUUAUCUGCUCCAAGCCGGCUGUCUGUUGUGGAGAUGGAGGUUCUGACACACAGGUGGAGCUUCCUGCUGCUGCUGAAGUCUUCCCCAUUCAUAGCAGCAGAGAAGGCAUUUUUAGGAGCACACAAAGGACUUGUCUUUCAGGAGCAUCUGCUGCUUAUGCCCCACUGUAAUGAAUGGAAGCUAUAAGCAGAAGAAAUUCUUGACAGAUUCUGUCCUAAAAUGUUUAAACUUACUUAGGUGCUACCACUUGAACCAACACUUUUGCUAAUUUUAUGCUUUAAGCUUUAUUCAAUAGAGCAUCCUCUAUCGAACCUAAACUCAAAAGCUUGGUUCUCUUGUAUAUUAUAAAUUAAUUUUAAUUGAUGUGCUAAUUUGUAAUUUUCAAACCUGUUCAUUUUUUAUCCUUGUGCCGCUUUGUUUAAUCCAUGUGUUGUCUAUAGCCCCGUUCAAUGUGUUGGCUGAAUUCAUGGAGAGGGGAACAGGAACACACCUUCAGUCCCACUCCUAAGUGGACUAUAGACUCCUCAGGAGCAGGGAUUGGCAGGGGAGCUGGAGGCUGGGUCCAUCCCUCUAAGCAGCACAGAGGUCAAGGUCACAGUUUGGGUCCAGAUGGGUGUUGGCUUCACAGGCAGUGCAGAAGCACACAGGCCAUGUGAACUAGAUGGACCAACAAGGCCCUCGGCUUAGCCCAGGCCUUAAAUAUCCUAGAGAGGAAGAGGCCCCACCCAUUCCUUGACUUCUCCCAGCCAGGGCUUGAUUUAGCCCCAGUCCUGCAAAGCACUGUAUGUGUUCAGGCAGUGAUCUGGCCCGGAUGCUGGAACAUGGGCUGCCUCCUCAUGAGCCCAGCCUCUCUGUUGCUCCCAUGGGAGAACCUAGCAGACUGGUAAUCUGAGAUGUGGCCCAACAAGGCAGAGAUUUGACUGCCCUCGGAUUGAAUCUUCAGGGGCAGGUCCAUCAGCAGGCCUCAGGGUCCAGGAGCUCUGGGUCUGGAGGAGUCUGAUGGUUUUGGGUGUCCCCUGAGCCUCCCGAUCUUCCCCCAGGGUGGUCCCCGGAUCAUCCUGGUCAUCUUCAGAUGAGAAGUCGUUCCUGGGCCCACAAGUCUGGCCCAGAGGGUCAAGGAUCUGGAUGCACCACUAAGGCACCAAGUCUCUUAUCUAUUUUUUAUUUACUUCAUUUAUAUCCUACCUUUCUUCCCCAAUGGGUACCCAAAGUGGCUUACAUUGUUGACUCCUCUAUUUUAUCCUCACAACAACCCAGUGAGGUAGGUUAAGCUGAGAUUGAGUGACUGGUCCAAGGUCAUCCAACAAGCUUCCUUCACAGAGUGGGGAUUCGAACCUGGGUCUCCUAGAUCCUAGCCCAACACUCUAACCACUUCUAUGCAAUCAGGACUGCUGCAAAAGGCAGAGUCCUCAACCAUUGUAUUCAGGCCUUCAUCUGAAUGCAUAGAGGUUAGGGACGGAGACACCCAGAAUGAUUCUGUUCCACCACUCACAUACAUUCAGCCUUUACACUUUGAACAUAUGAAAUGGCUUAUGUGUACAGUUGAUGUCACUGUAAAGCACCCCCAGGCUGAUUAAAUUAGAAUGAUUGGAAUUCCAAAUAUGCUACUCUGCACUGCCAACAAGAAAACAGAUUGUGCCAUUUGACUAGAUUUACUGUCUGUUUAAAAAGAAUGUCAGAAAUAUAUUACCUAUUUCAAAUGGCUCAGAAUGUCUAAGUGUGUAAACUUCUGGUUUUUAUUACAAUAAUAUUUGAUUACUGCUUUUCAAGCUGAAAAGUAGUAAAAUUUGUGAAAGAGUCAGAUUUGUUUAUAGAAAUCUCCUUCAACAAAGUGUAUUUUUCUAUCAUAUAUUAACAUUAAAUUCAUUCUAAAGUUAUGCUUUGACUGUAUAUUCAUUUUUUUGUUGAAUUAAAGUUUGAAAGUUC